GGGGCGCUCACCACUUUGUGGUUCAUGACUGGGGUGAAGUCGUAACAAGGUAGCCCUAGGGGAACCUGGGGCUGGAUCACCUCCUUA
rnacentral:rRNA from 1 species